CCGUCGUCAGCUCGUGUCGUGAGAUGUUGGGUUAAGUCCCGCAACGAGCGCAACCCUUGUCAUUAGUUGCUACGCAAGAGCACUCUAAUGAGACUGCCGGUGACAAACCGGAGGAAGGUGGGGAUGACGUCAGGUCCUCAUGGCCCUUAUGGGUAGGGCUACACACGUCAUACAAUGGCCGGUACAGAGGGCUGCCAACCCGCGAGGGGGAGCCAAUCCCAGAAAACCGGUCGUAGUCCGGAUCGUAGUCUGCAACUCGACUGCGUGAAGUCGGAAUCGCUAGUAAUCGCGGAUCAGCUUGCCGCGGUGAAUACGUUCCCGGGUCUUGUACACACCGCCCGUCACACCAUGGGAGCGGGUUCUGCCAGAAGUAGUUAGCCUAACCGCAAGGAGGGCGAUUACCACGGCAGGGUUCGUGACUGGGGUGAAGUCGUAACAAGGUAACCA
rnacentral:rRNA from 1 species